CAUCUACUCCCUUCGUUCGGAAUUAUUUGUCUCGAAAAUGAAUGUAUCUAAAACUAAAAUACAUCUAGAUACAUCCAUUUAUGUGACAAGUAGUUUCAAACGGAGGGAGUAGCAG
rfam:Triticum urartu cultivar G1812 contig297697, whole genome shotgun sequence.